UUCUGUAGGAUGAAUGUCCAUUCAUGCUAUAUAAACUGAAAUAUCUACAUUAUAUUUUUCCAUGUGUUGAUGUUGGUUUUUUUUUUGUUUGUGUUUUUGUUGUUUUGUUUUGUUUUCAUUUACCACUAAAAAUACUUCAUAGCCAUAUAUUUGAGUAUUUGCACUUACUUCAUCUGGUACAGGUUGUUGGUUCCUCUGUGAUCAAUGUCAUGGCAGAAAGCAGCGGCAACCAUGGCAAAGGCUUCUAGAUCAGUAUAGUAUUUCUUUAUUCUGCCUGUCUGUAAAAGAAAAGAAGCAACUCUGAGUGUGCGCCUGCCUUGAAAGAAAAACUAAAUAAUGAAUGUAAAGUUAAUAUUAGCAGUAUUACCAUCAGCAGAGUAAACAUUGUUUGCCCCACAUUGAAUCCAUGCCGCCAGUUGUGGUAAGUGAUAUCUCGAUAGCCCUUCCUGACUGUGUACAUCCAUCUUGUAAGGACCUGUUAUGAUUAAAAGUGGUUGAUACUGUGCUGUUAACUGAAAGAAAAUUAUAAAAUUUCUAUAAAAUUAAUGGAACAUACUAUAAAAUUACUGGGAUAACAUGCAAGUUCUAUUAAAUUAAACAUGGCAGCAGCAAAAUGUUCUUAUGUAAAUGUAUGUUGAUUUAAUUCCUUCCACAAGUCACACAAUUUCAGGAUCAGUUUUAAGACUUUAUGACAGAUAUGCAAAUGCUUAAGAAUGAAUAUUGUUAUCCAUAAAAUAACUAAUCCUACUCAUACUUAAUAUAGCUUACUUCUAUAUUAAAGUACCAACAGCCAGCUAUUUUUGUUCUAUCUUAAAAGAAACAUAAACAAGAUGAAAAAAAAAAGUCAGACCUCUGCUGGGACUUUGAACUUUUCAACAACAUUUAUCUCAAAGAACAGUCGUAUUCCACAAGUUAUCAGGCCAUGCUCUGUAACGGGAAAGUCACUGAAGCGGAAUUCAUAUAGUUCUAAAUCUUUUGGAUCAGGCCAGCACCAUCCUAAUCACUUGUUGCUCUUCAAGUAGAGAGAUUUAAGAAUAUUUAUUUCUGUUUUCUUUAAAAGGAGAACUGUAUAGGGACGUCUCACUUAACAGACAUCUGAAUCCCCGAUCUGCAACUACUUAAAAGGGACCUGCAUACACCAAGUGAGUUGAAUCAGCGGAAUA